AGCUCUAAGAUGUAUCAAAAAUUGCAUGAAUGUAUAUUUUGAUAUUUGUGCCCCAAUGCUCCUAUUAUCAUAAAAGAACUUUGAAGUCAUUAAGAAAAUUAAUUAAAUUGCUCUCAUGGUUGAUAAAAUACUUAAUAGAUUGGGCAAAAGGUCUUAAACGAACAAGCUUUCAUACUCAGUGAAGAGAGGUUAGAUUUCCACUCAUGUUUUUCCUUGAAUAUCAUUUGUAGUACUUCUUGAAUUAACCUAAGGAAGAUUCCACCUACACUUGAUUAGAAAACUAUCUGUGGUAUCAAAUUAGAAAACCUCUUGAUUUCACACUCGAUGUGUUCUGCUCUGAUCUUUGUGCUUAAUGUUUCACUAUCUUUUUGAUGUUGUCAAAAAGGGGGAGAAAUAUCUAAGUAUAUGCUAUAUAUACUCAUAAUGCUUUAUUACUUUGAAUUGAAUACAAAUCAGCUUAAAAUUUAAAUAUGUUAAUUGUGUUAAACUGAUUAAAUCUAAAGCAUUAUCAUGAAGUAUGUUUUUACAUAUAUAUGUUUUCUACUUCAUGCAACUUAGCUAUGUAUUACUUCUAGAAAUCAAAAUCUUUUAUAUUGCAUAUACUCCAAGUUUUGUCAUCAUCAAAAAGGGGGAGAUUGAUGACCCAAAGAUUGAUUCAUAGAUUGAUUUUGAUGAUCACAAAACCUUGAAGUAUAGAUACUAAUGUUUAUGUUGCAAGGAGAAAGAUAUUUAUUUUGCAAGGAACAUAGCAAGUUGGAAGAACACAAGAAGGCCUCCAAAGCUCUCAAGUUGGAAGAAAGCUACAAUUUAUUGGCUCAAAGUUUAAAGUUCAAAGGAUUCAAAUUGGAGGAGUAAAAUCAAAAGAAAAAUUCAAAAGAACAGUCUUCGAGUCGACUCCAGUGGAAUUCGAGUCGACUC
rnacentral:lncRNA from 1 species